rnacentral:tRNA from 1 species
GGGGGUGUAGCUCAGUGGUAGAGCACUUGCCUCACAUGCAUGAAGCCAUGGGUUCCCCCU